rnacentral:misc_RNA from 1 species
GCUACGCUGUGGGUGGGGAUUGCCUGAAAGAGAACAACAAAAAUAUCAUAUCAAAUCAAUUAAAAUGUUAAAAUCAUUUUCAACCUUUGGCAGAGAACCUUCUACUGUCAUCCUUGUGGACGAAUUAAGGAAGUAAAAUGUCAAAACUACCCUUGAUUACAUGCAUAAGAAGAAAUAAUGAUAUUCUGAGGAUAGGAUAUGGAAGUCAUGAACUACUUCUAUAUACAUAUAUAUAAAAGAUGGUGUCCAUGGACGAAGAACUUACCAAGCCUCCUGUGACAAAUUUGA